rnacentral:rRNA from 2 species
UACGUAGGUGGCGAGCGUUGUCCGGAUUUACUGGGUGUAAAGGGCGCGCAGGCGGGAGAGCAAGUCAGAUGUGAAAUCUAUGGGCUUAACCCAUAAACUGCAUUUGAAACUGUUUUUCUUGAGUGAUGGAGAGGCAAGCGGAAUUCCUAGUGUAGCGGUGAAAUGCGUAGAUAUUAGGAGGAACACCAGUGGCGAAGGCGGCUUGCUGGACAUUAACUGACGCUGAGGCGCGAAAGCGUGGGGAGCAAACAGG